GAGGAUAUAGCUCAGCAGUAGAGCACAUGCUUAGCAUGCAUGAGGUCCUGGGUUCAAUUCCCAGCACCUACA
rnacentral:tRNA from 1 species